CCUACGGGUGGCAGCAGUGAGGAAUAUUGGUCAAUGGACGAGAGUCUGAACCAGCCAAGUAGCGUGAAGGAUGACUGCCCUAUGGGUUGUAAACUUCUUUUAUAUGGGAAUAAAAUGUUCCACGUGUGGGAUUUUGUAUGUACCAUAUGAAUAAGGAUCGGCUAACUCCGUGCCAGCAGCCGCGGUAAUACGGAGGAUCCGAGCGUUAUCCGGAUUUAUUGGGUUUAAAGGGAGCGUAGGUGGAUUGUUAAGUCAGUUGUGAAAGUUUGCGGCGCAACCGUAAAAUUGCAGUUGAAACUGGCAGUCUUGAGUACAGUAGAGGUGGGCGGAAGUCGUGGUGUAGCGGUGAAAUGCUUAGAUAUCACGAAGAACUCCGAUUGCGAAGGCAGUUCACUGGACUGCAACUGACACUGAGGCUCGAAAGUGUGGGUAUCAAACAGGAUUAGAUACCCUAGUAGUC
rnacentral:rRNA from 1 species